rnacentral:rRNA from 1 species
UACGUAGGGGGCAAGCGUUGUCCGGAUUUAUUGGGCGUAAAGAGCGUGUAGGCGGCCGUACAGGUCAGCUGUGAAAACUCGAGGCUCAACCUCGAGACGUCGGUUGAAACCGUACGGCUAGAGUCCGGAAGAGGAGAGUGGAAUUCCCGGUGUAGCGGUGAAAUGCGCAGAUAUCAGGAAGAACACCAAUGGCGAAAGCAGCUCUCUGGGACGGUACUGACGCUGAGACGCGAAAGCGUGGGGAGCGAACAGG